rnacentral:rRNA from 1 species
AAAGGGGGGCAACUCCCCGAGUAGAGUGGCGAACGGGUGAGUAAUACAUCGGAACGUAUCCAGUAGCGGGGGAUAACCUCUCGAAAGAGAGGCUAAUACCGCAUACGACCUACGGGUGAAAGAGGGGGAUCGCAAGACCUCUCACUAUUGGAGCGGCCGAUGUCGGAUUAGCUAGUUGGCGGGGUAAAAGCCCACCAAGGCGACGAUCCGUAGCUGGUCUGAGAGGACGACCAGCCACACUGGAACUGAGACACGGUCCAGACUCCUACGGGAGGCAGCAGUGGGGAAUUUUGGACAAUGGGCGAAAGCCUGAUCCAGCCAUGCCGCGUGAGUGAAGAAGGCCUUCGGGUUGUAAAGCUCUUUCGGCGGGGACGAAAAGGUCCGUGCUAAUACCAUGGAUCCAUGACGGUACCCGCAGAAGAAGCACCGGCUAACUACGUGCCAGCAGCCGCGGUAAUACGUAGGGUGCAGGCGUUAAUCGGAAUUACUGGGCGUAAAGCGUGCGCAGGCGGUCUGCUAAGACAGGUGUGAAAUCCCCGGGCUUAACCUGGGAACUGCGCUUGUUACUGGCAGGCUUGAGUGUGGCAGAGGGGGGUGGAAUUCCACGUGUAGCAGUGAAAUGCGUAGAGAUGUGGAGGAACACCGAUGGCGAAAGCAGCCCCCUGGGCUAACACUGACGCUCAUGCACGAAAGCGUGGGGAGCAAACAGGAUUAGAUACCCUGGUAGUCCACGCCCUAAACUAUGUCAACUGGUUGUCGGGGAAGCAAUUCCUUGGUAACGAAGCUAACGCGUGAAGUUG